AUGAUGAAGAUGCAAAGACUAGGACUCGCUGCACUAGAGAGAACCAUUUCGAGACAGAGAUCGAGAAUACUUUGGCUAAAAGAAGGAGAUGCUAGCAACCGUUUCUUCCAGUCCAAAGCUUCUGCUAGAAGGAGGAGGAAGCACAUCCACCGUGUGGUUCACGAAGGGGUCCCGCACACUGACCAAGCCGGCAAAGUGCAAGCUAUGCAUGAUUUCUUCGAUGGGUUGAUGGGGCAAAAAGUUCAGAGAGGGCAUGGCAUUAAUUUCCAUGAGAUCGGAAUCCAGGAGGUGGACCUGGCAGAUUUGAAUUGUCCAAUAUCAGUUGAGGAGGUGAAGGCGGCCAUUACGGAGAUCGAUGGGAAUAAGGCGCCGGGGCCAGAUGGGUACACGGGCAUGUUCUAUAAGUGCUGCUGGGAAAUCAUCAAAACUGAUUUGAUGGAUGCACUGUCCGCUGUGCAAUGUUUGAACGCCAGAAAUCUGCAUCUCCUAAAUGAAAGUACGACGGUGUUGCUACCCAAGAAGGAGGACGCGGAAUCGCCAAGGGACUACCGACCUAUCUGCUUAAUCUCAAGUUUUGCCAAGCUGAUCGCCAAGAUCUUCGCUAUCCGUAUCAGAGGGACAUGA
rnacentral:rRNA from 1 species